GUGCCAGCAGCCGCGGUAAAACGUAGGAGGCAAGCGUUAUCCGGAUUUACUGGGCGUAAAGCGCGUGCAGGUGGUUACGUAAGUCGUGCGUGAAAGCGCCCUGCUUAACAGGGCGAGGACGGGCGAGACUGCGUGACUAGAGCUAGAUAGAGGCAAGUGGAAUUCCGGGUGUAGUGGUGAAAUGCGUAGAGAUCCGGAGGAAUACCAGUGGCGAAGGCGGCUUGCUGGGUCUAAGCUGACACUCAGACGCGAAAGCAUGGGGAGCGAACGGGAUUAGAAACCCGGGUAGUCC
rnacentral:rRNA from 1 species